GACGAACGCUGGCGGCGUGCUUAACACAUGCAAGUCGAACGGAAAGGCCCUGCUUUUGUGGGGUGCUCGAGUGGCGAACGGGUGAGUAACACGUGAGUAACCUGCCCUUGACUUUGGGAUAACUUCAGGAAACUCGGGCUAAUACCGGAUAUGAGCUCCUGCUGCAUGGUGGGGGUUGGAAAGUUUCGGCGGUUGGGGAUGGACUCGCGGCUUAUCAGCUUGUUGGUGGGGUAGUGGCUUACCAAGGCUUUGACGGGUAGCCGGCCUGAGAGGGUGACCGGCCACAUUGGGACUGAGAUACGGCCCAGACUCCUACGGGAGGCAGCAGUGGGGAAUAUUGCACAAUGGGCGGAAGCCUGAUGCAGCAACGCCGCGUGCGGGAUGACGGCCUUCGGGUUGUAACCCGCUUUCGCCUGUGACGAAGCGUGAGUGACGGUAAUGGGUAAAGAAGCACCGGCUAACUACGUG
rnacentral:rRNA from 1 species